UGCACAGGGAAGAGCUCUAGGAAAAUUCCCUUGAGCAAAUGAAGCUUUCUGUGGGCCAGCUACGAGAGCUUACCGUCAUUUGUGGACAAUUCACUGUGCCUGCAACUUCUGGUAAUCAAAUGGCUGAUUGUUGUCAAUAUCUGCUGAGUGCUGACCAUGUGGAUCAUUGUGAAGAACAUGAGGCUGGAUCUUAACCUGUUCUUCUAGUAUAAUGCUAAACAGAAGAUAGCAGACAAAAAAUCCUAUUGCUGAGCCAAAAGUGAAGGUUAGAAGGUUCAUCAAAGACUUAGAAGCGGCCAUCUCCUGAAGGAAUCAAGGGGGAAGCUCUGAGGCCCCGUGAUGAAACAACGUAAAUGCCCUUUGAGAGCUGCAUGAUCAGCAAUGAAAUUGAUCUCUACCACCACGUCCUUACCAGUCAAGCAACACAUCAGAAUAAUUCGACCAAAACGUAGGAAAAAACGUAGCUAGCUAUAAAUAAACACUCCUUCUGUUCCUGAA